rnacentral:rRNA from 1 species
UACGAAGGGGGCUAGCGUUGUUCGGAAUCACUGGGCGUAAAGCGCACGUAGGCGGACUGUUAAGUCGGGGGUGAAAUCCUGGGGCUCAACCUCAGAAUUGCCUCCGAUACUGGCAGUCUCGAGUGCGGGAGAGGUGAGUGGAAUUCCCAGUGUAGAGGUGAAAUUCGUAGAUAUUGGGAAGAACACCAGUGGCGAAGGCGGCUCACUGGCCCGUAACUGACGCUGAGGUGCGAAAGCGUGGGGAGCAAACAGG